rnacentral:lncRNA from 1 species
AAAUCUCCAUGAAUUUUUUACACUGUCCCACUUCCAUCUCUCUCUUUGGUUUCUUUUUAUUCACAAGAUAAGGUGGUUUGAUGUAUUUUAGUAAAUGAGGAUUUAGUUCAUUUAGGAUUUGGUUUUUGUUGUCCGAAAAGGUGAGUCUUUAUCAAUGAUUUUAUCAUGUGUCUCUUCCUUCUUAAGAGUCUCAUGCGAUACGUCAUCUACUGUUAGUG